rnacentral:rRNA from 1 species
AGUAAAGAUACUAAUGCAUAUGGUGGAUGCCUUGGGUAUUCGCGCCGAUGAAGGAGGUGCUAAGCUGCCAUAAGCCUCGAGGAGUUGCUACGAAACGUUAUUACUCGGGGACUUCCGAAUGGGGAAACCCAACCCGCUUAUAAGGCGAGGUUACUAAUUACUGAAAGUUGCGCAAGCGACCAUAGGUAAUUUAGAGGGAACUCGGCGAACUGAAACAACUUAGUAGCCGGAGGAAAAGAAACCAAAUCAGGUAUUCUCCUAGUAGCGGCGAGCGAACGGGGAACAGCCCAAACCCAUAUUAAUAUUGGGGGUAUAGACAAUCCUAAUGUUUGAUCAUAGAAGAGUUAACUAAAUUUUUUUCGUAGAAGAAGCCUUCUGGAAAGAAGCGCCAUAGAGGGUAACAGCCCCGUAUUUGAAACGAAAAAAACUCUUGGGUUGAUCUUGAGUAGCACGGGACACGUGUAACCCUGUGUGAAGAAACGACGUCCACGUCGUAAGGCUAAAUACGCGAAUACACCGAUAGCGCAUAGUACCGUGAGGGAAAGGUGAAAAGAACCCCUGUUAGGGGAGUGAAAUAGAUACUGAAACCGUAUGCAGACAAGCUGGCAAAGCCCGCAAGGGUAAUGCCGUGCCUAUUGAAGAAUGAGCCAACGAGUUAAUAGAUUGGGCAAGCUUAAGCCGUAACAGCGGCGGAGGCGUAGGGAAACCGAGUCUUAAUAGGGCGACCAGUCCAUUUUAUUAGACCCGAAGCCAGGUGAGCUAACCAUGGCCAGGAUGAAACCCUGCGAAAUCAGGGUGAAGGUCCGAACCGUUGUAUGAGGAAAAAUGCUCGGAUGAGCUGUGGUUAGGGGUGAAACGCUAAUCGAACUUGGCAAUAGCUGGUUCUCCCCGAAAUAUAUUUAGGUAUAGCCCUUGAAUACAAGGUCUACGUCGGUUUACCGACUAAGCCUUGUUUAUAACUUUGCGAGGUAGAGAUACUGAAAGGGGAUGGGGCGCGCAAGUGUACCCACCCCUACCAAACUCCGAAUGCGCAAAGUGUUCCAAGGAGUCAGUGCUGCGGGGAAAUCUCGUGGCACGAAAGGGAAACAACCCGGACCAUCAGCUAAGGUCCCUAAAUUAUGCUUAGUGGGCAAGGAAGUGAGAUCGUUAAGACAGCUAGGAGGUUGGCUUAGAAGCAGCCACCCUUUAAAGAUAGCGUAACAGCUCACUAGUUGAACGAUUUCGCGCCGACGAUUUAACGGGGCUCAAGCAUAAUACCGAAGCUAUGGAUUUGCUGUUUUUAACAGCGAGUGGUAGGGGAGCUUUGAUGCAGCAGUGAAGGUGUACCCGUGAGGGGCGCUGGAGCGGCAUCAAGUGAGAAUGUUGGCAUGAGUAACGUAAGGGUGGUGAAAACCCACCCCACCGAAAGUCUAAGGGUUCCUCCGCAAUGUCAGUCAUCGGAGGGUUAGUCGACCCUAAGGGGAGGCCGAAAGGCGUACCUGAUGGAUAGCAGGUUAAUAUUCCUGCACUUUUGUAAGACCGUUACUACCGAAGGGAGGACGGAGCAUGAUGGACCAAGCUCAUUAAGGAUUUGAGUCCCAAAAGCAAGGCAGCUUGUGUAGGUAAAUCCGCACAGGCGUUACGUCGAGCUAAGGGAAAGUCUGCCGCAAGGCGGAUAAUUUGGUGUCACGCAAGCUUCCAAGAAAAUUCUCUAGGGAGGUCUUACAAUAUUCGUACCGUAAACCGACACAGGUAGAUGAGUAGAGGAUACUAAGGUGAACGAGCGAAUCGUGGUUGAGGAACUAGGCAAAUUACAUCCGUAACUUAGGGAAAAGGAUGCCCUGCCACGAACCUACGCAAGUAGGGAGUCGGUAGGGGGCACAAAAAUGGCUCAAGCGACUGUUUAACAAAAACAUAGGUCUCUGCUAAACCAGUAAUGGGAUGUAUAGGGGCCGAUGCCUGCCCAGUGCCCGUAGGUCAAGAUCGGGGGUGAUUUCCAACUUCGGUUGGAAUGAGCUUUUGGUUUAAGCCCGGGUGAACGGCAGCAGUAACUAUAACUGUUCUAUGGUGAAUUUACGCGCCGCCAUAGUGGGGAGCUAAGCUCUCCCGUUUGGAUGUGCCCAAACGCAACCUGACUAUAUGCUGGAAACUCCGUCCAUACUUCUUUAUUGAAGAUAUGGUGUCUCUAAUUUAAUUAGAGAAAAGAAUCUUGGACUACUAAACAUAUUCGUAUAAUAUUCGGGUAUGCGCAGUGAAAAUGUACCAAGUGCGGACAAUCAGCAGGAAAGACUAAGAUUUGAGGGGUGGUUAGUUGGUUUUACAGAUGGAGAAGGUGCUUUCACAGUUAGCAUCUUAAAAAAUUCCACAAGCAAAACCGGCUGGCAAGUGUUUCCCGAAUUUAUUAUUACUCAGGGAGCACGAAGCAAGGAUGUUCUUUAUUUGUUCAAAGAAUUUUUCGCUUGUGGAAAUGUUUAUCUUAAUAGAAGACAUGAUAACCACAACGAAGAUCUUUACAGAUACUGUGUCAGAUCCAUAAAAGAUUUACAGAACGUGAUAAUUCCAUUCUUCUCAAGGAUCGUUUUACGAUCGGAUAAGAGGAAAGAUUUUUCAUUGUUUUGCAAAGUGAUGGGUUUGAUAAGUAAUAAGGAACAUCUCAGUAUUGCAGGUUUGUUUAAAAUUGCCGGGCUGGCAAUGAAAAUGAACCGUAAAGUCAGACCCAAAUUCUUAGAAUCCUCACUCACUAUACGUCAGGCCUCUGAAGGUUCAGAGGAAGAGAUAGUGGCGUCUGCAUGGCGACAUGCAGGAAUCAAUUCUUAGGGAAAGAAUGAUUCAAAAUUCGCGGAAACGCGAACGAAGAUUACAAGCGUAAUCCCUUGUCGGGUAAGUUCCGACCCGCACGAAAGGCAUAACGACUUGAGCACUCUCUUAAUCACGAGCUCGGUGAAAUUGAANNNNNNNNNNNNNNNNNNNNNNNNNNNNNNNNNNNNNNNNNNNNNNNNNNNNNNNNNNNNNNNNNNNNNNNNNNNNNNNNNNNNNNNNNNNNNNNNNNNACUCUGCAUUACCUGCAGAGGGGACAAUGCCUGGCGGGCAGUUUAUCUGGGGCGGAUUCCUGCUAAAGGAUAACGCAGGAGCCCAAAGGUUCUCUUAGCACCGAUGGAAAUGGUGCUGUAAGCGUAAAGGUAUAUGAGAGCUUGACUGCGAGACUUACAAGUCGAGCAGAUACGAAAGUAGGGCUUAGUGAUCUUCCGUGUGCCUAGUGGUAGGCCCGGAACUUAUCGGAUAAAAGUUACCCCGGGGAUAACAGGCUGAUCUUGCCCGAGCGUCCAUAGCGGCGGCAAGGUUUGGCACCUCGAUGUCGUCUCGUCACAUCCUGGAGCUGGAGCAGGUUCCAAGGGUCCGGCUGUUCGCCGGUUAAAGUGGCGCGUUAGAUGGGUUAAGAACGUCGUGAGACAGUUCGGUCUCUUUCCACAACGAGCGUUUGGCUUUGAGAGGACUCAUUCCUAGUACGAGAGGACCGGAAUGACAGAACCUCUAGUGUACCAGUUGUUCUACCAAGGGCAUUGCUGGGUAGCUACGUCUUUAAGCGGACACAAUUCCUGGGAGAUUACCAGGUUGAUAGGCCGUAGGUGUAAGCACAGCAAUGUGUUCAGCCAAGCGGUACUAAUAUUUUGUGAGUCUUUAUUUA